rnacentral:rRNA from 1 species
UACGUAGGCAGCAAGCGUUGUUCGGAAUUACUGGGCGUAAAGAGUGUGUAGGCGGUGCUCUAAGUUCGGUGUGAAAUCUCCCGGCUCAACUGGGAGGGUGCGCCGGAAACUGGGGUGCUGGAGCGCGGGAGAGGAAAGCGGAAUUCCUGGUGUAGCGGUGAAAUGCGUAGAUAUCAGGAGGAACACCGACGGUGUAGACGGCUUUCUGGACCGUAGCUGACGCUGAGACACGAAAGCGUGGGGUAGCAAACAGG